UACAGAGGUGGCAAGCGUUGUUCGGAAUUACUGGGCGUAAAGGGCGCGUAGGCGGCCAGCACAAGUCAGUUGUGAAAUCUCCGAGCUUAACUCGGAAAGGUCAACUGAUACUGUGCGGCUAGAGUGCGGAAGGGGCAACUGGAAUUCUUGGUGUAGCGGUGAAAUGCGUAGAUAUCAAGAGGAACACCUGCGGCGAAGGCGGGUUGCUGGGCCGACACUGACGCUGAGGCGCGAAAGCCAGGGGAGCGAACAGG
rnacentral:rRNA from 1 species